rnacentral:rRNA from 1 species
UAGGGAAUCUUCCACAAUGGACGCAAGUCUGAUGGAGCAACGCCGCGUGAGUGAAGAAGGUUUUCGGAUCGUAAAGCUCUGUUGUUGGUGAAGAAGGAUAGAGGCAGUAACUGGUCUUUAUUUGACGGUAAUCAACCAGAAAGUCACGGCUAACCACGUGCCAGCAGCCGCGGUAAUACGUAGGUGGCAAGCGUUGUCCGGAUUUAUUGGGCGUAAAGCGAGCGCAGGCGGAAUGAUAAGUCUGAUGUGAAAGCCCACGGCUCAACCGUGGAACUGCAUCGGAAACUGUCAUUCUUGAGUGCAGAAGAGGAGAGUGGAAUUCCAUGUGUAGCGGUGGAAUGCGUAGAUAUAUGGAAGAACACCAGUGGCGAAGGCGGCUCUCUGGUCUGCAACUGACGCUGAGGCUCGAUAGCAUGGGUAGCGAACAGG